UGGGGAAUAUUGCACAAUGGGGGAAACCCUGAUGCAGCGACGCCGCGUGAACGAAGAAGGUAUUCGUAUCGUAAAGUUCUGUCCUAUGGGAAGAUAAUGACAGUACCAUAGAAGAAAGCUCCGGCUAAAUACGUGCCAGCAGCCGCGGUAAUACGUAUGGAGCGAGCGUUGUCCAGAAUUAUUGGGGGUAAAGGGUACGCAGGCGGUUUAAUAAGUCGAAUGUUAAAGAUCGGGGCUCAACCCCGCAAAGCAUUGGAAACUGAUAAACUUGAGUAGUGGAGAGGAAAGUGGAAUUCCUAGUGUAGUGGUGAAAUACGUAGAUAUUAGGAGGAAUACCAGUAGCGAAGGCGACUUUCUGGACACAAACUGACGCUGAGGUACGAAAGCGUGGGGAGCAAACAGG
rnacentral:rRNA from 1 species